GACGAACGCUGGCGGCGUGCUUAACACAUGCAAGUCGAACGGAAAGGCCCUGCUUUUGUGGGGUGCUCGAGUGGCGAACGGGUGAGUAACACGUGAGUAACCUGCCCUUGACUUUGGGAUAACUUCAGGAAACUGGGGCUAAUACCGGAUAGGAGCUCCUGCUGCAUGGUGGGGGUUGGAAAGUUUCGGCGGUUGGGGAUGGACUCGCGGCUUAUCAGCUUGUUGGUGGGGUAGUGGCUUACCAAGGCUUUGACGGGUAGCCGGCCUGAGAGGGCGACCGGCCACAUUGGGACUGAGAUACGGCCCAGACUCCUACGGGAGGCAGCAGUGGGGAAUAUUGCACAAUGGGCGGAAGCCUGAUGCAGCAACGCCGCGUGCGGGAUGACGGCCUUCGGGUUGUAAACCGCUUUCGCCUGUGACGAAGCGUGAGUGACGGUAAUGGGUAAAGAAGCACCGGCUAACUACGUGCCAGCAGCCGCGGUGAUACGUAGGGUGCGAGCGUUGUCCGGAUUUAUUGGGCGUAAAGGGCUCGUAGGUGGUUGAUCGCGUCGGAAGUGUAAUCUUGGGGCUUAACCCUGAGCGUGCUUUCGAUACGGGUUGACUUGAGGAAGGUAGGGGAGAAUGGAAUUCCUGGUGGAGCGGUGGAAUGCGCAGAUAUCAGGAGGAACACCAGUGGCGAAGGCGGUUCUCUGGGCCUUUCCUGACGCUGAGGAGCGAAAGCGUGGGGAGCGAACAGGCUUAGAUACCCUGGUAGUCCACGCUGUAAACGGUGGGUACUAGGUGUGGGGUCCAUUCCACGGGUUCCGUGCCGUAGCUAACGCUUUAAGUACCCCGCCUGGGGAGUACGGCCGCAAGGCUAAAACUCAAAGGAAUUGACGGGGCCCCGCACAAGCGGCGGAGCAUGCGGAUUAAUUCGAUGCAACGCGUAGAACCUUACCUGGGUUUGACAUGGAUCGGGAGUGCUCAGAGAUGGGUGUGCCUCUUUUGGGGUCGGUUCACAGGUGGUGCAUGCCUGUCGUCAGCUCGUGUCGUGAGAUGUUGGGUUAAGUCCCGCAACGAGCGCAACCCUUGUUCACUGUUGCCAGCACGUUAUGGUGGGGACUCAGUGGAGACCGCCGGGGUCAACUCGGAGGAAGGUGGGGAUGACGUCAAGUCCUCAUGCCCCUUAUGUCCAGGGCUUCACGCACGCUACAAUGGCUGGUACAGAGAGUGGCGAGCCUGUGAGGGUGAGCGAAUCUCGGAAAGCCGGUCUCAGUUCGGAUUGGGGUCUGCAACUCGACCUCAUGAAGUCGGAGUCGCUAGUAAUCGCAGAUCAGCAACGCUGCGGUGAAUACGUUCCCGGG
rnacentral:rRNA from 1 species